UCUCGUGAUUACAUUGGCAAUGUGAAAUAAUAGUAUGACUGUAAGUGUUACUGACUAAGAGUCAGUAUAUAAUAGUGAGCAUUUUGUUUUUGCAGGACAAUCUUGUUCAAAUCCAGUAGCAGAAGACAAUAUACGAUUUGUGUUGGGGGCGUGCCCAAUAUGACAUUGUGGAGAGGCUGAGCCGACGGGCCGACGGCGGGGCAGGGCACACUGGAGCCCUACCCAAGAUGGCGGCAAGGACAAUGCGGCUGAGCGGAGCGUCAGGGCGUGCUGGGAGCGACGCCGCCACAAUCUAAUUCAGGCGAAGAAGGAGGAGAGAUCAAGGCAGAAGGAGUUGGAGAGUCAGCAGCAGUGGCUGGAGAACCUGAGUACAGAGAGCAACAGAGAGCGAGCCGAAGACAGCGACGACAUGCCCGGCUGAAAGACAACAAGGAGCGAGCAGGAGAGAAGGAGCUGAAAAGUGACCCGACCACAGACAAGCUUGUGUUAGUGAAAGAAUAAACCAGAGUAAAACCUGCUCAAAGCAAUGUCCUUUCUGAGUGGUCCAUGGAACCCUCACAAUGACAGCAAGAGUCUGUCACAUUUGGCGCCCAACCCGGAAGGACCGUUCACUGAGCUGGCGGCAAGCAGCCGGCAGCGGCUCGAGGAGUCCCACCAACAGCUGUGGCUCCUGCAGGUGCUGACGGACUAGGUGGGAGGAGGCAGCGAGUGCCCCCCCAAAGAAGUAACGGAGAAGCACAAGAAGGAAGAUGGCAGUGCAGAUGAGGCGCCCCCUGCUCAGGAGACCGAUGCACAGCCCGUGAAGCCUGCAGCUGAAAAAGGAGAAGAAGAAGUGAAAGAAGUGGAAGAAAAAGACAAAGAAGUAGAAGAAGAUGACGAUGAAUAAAUUUAUGUUGAAGAAGUUUAUGUUGAAGAAGUUUAUCAGGAUGAAGAAGAAGAAGAAGUUUAUGUUGAAGAUGAAGAAGAAGUUGAAGAUGAAAAAAUUGAAGAAGAAGAAGAUGUUUAUGAUGAUGAUGAUGAAAAAGACAAAGAAAAGGAUGAAGGAAAAGACAAUGACAUGGUUGUGGCUGACUCAAAAACUGAAGAGGACCACAGAUCACCAGCAGAGGGCGAGGAUGCUACUUCACCACCAGAGGACGAAGACAACAUGGAAGUAGAAGAAAUGGUGGUGGCUGACUCGCAAACUGAAGAGGACCACACAACGCCAGCAGAGGGUGAGGAUGCUACUUCACCAACAGAGGAAGAAAUAAAACAGGCGACAAAGAAGAAGACUGGCAGCACAGUUGGUCAAGGCCAUUUUCACUUCCCGUUCCAGGGGAAAAAAGGGGGGUGGAGUAGGCUCAGCCGGUCGGAAGCCCGGCUUGCGUCCGGUGAUGAAGGACUGUGGGGAGGCGGAGCCGACGGGCCGACUGCGGGGCGGGGCACGCUGGAACCCUGCCGAAGAUGGCGGCAAGGAGGCGGAGAAUGCGGCUGAGUGGGGAGGCGGGGUGUGCUGGGAGCACCGCCGCCGCAAUCUAAAUCAGGUGCGUGGAUUGUGCACCGGCACACAAUUGACUUAUCUCCUCACAGUGUAUAAAAGGGGAGAAGGAGGAGAGAUCAAGGCAGAAAGAGUUGGAGAGUCCACAGCAGUGGCUAGAGAACCUGAGUACCGAGAGCGACAGAGAGCGAGCCGAAGACAGCGACGCCGUGCCCGGCUGAAAGAGAGCGAGGAGCGAGCAGGAGUGGAGGAGCUGAAAAGGGACCUGACCGCAGACAAGCUUGUGUUUUUGUAAAAAUAAACAAGAGUCAAACCUGCUCAAAGCAAUGUCCUUCCUGAGUGGUCCAUGGAACCCGCACGACGAAAGCAAGAGUCUGUCACAGACACCAUCACAUAAUUUGCCAUGACGCAUGCCUUUUUUUUAAGACUAAAAAAUGUACACAUUUACUUCGAGACAAAUCUUGUUUAUUAGCUAUUACUAUCAACAUAUGUUUUACUACUAGGUCGGUCUACUGCUCUCUGCACUGUGUGUUAACUAUAAGUUUAAAACACAUAAUGGAGUCAUUUUUUUGUGGAAAGGUUGAGUGUUACCUUGUUGUAUUGCAAAACUAUUGAAACAGCAUGUACUUUUCUUUCAACAUUUCUUUUUACUUGAAUAUUUGUUUGUUUUUUUGCAUCUGAGAUAUGUUUUGUCUUUUGGACUUUGUACACAUUUAUUGCUGGAACUAACAAAUGGAAGACAUUAUAUCAACAACGACUUUAUGGAUUUAUCUGUACAUAACACAGUAAAAAGUACAAAAAACACUAAAAUAAUGGAUCAAUACAAUACAGCCAAGUGGACAUCAAAUGAUUAUCAAAAUGCUAAAGCAGUGGUUCUCAAACUUUUUUCACCAAGUACCACCUCAGAAAACCCUUUGUUCUCCAAGUACUACCAUAAUGACCAACAUUAAAAUACAGUAUCAUAAUAGGGCUAAGUUAUCAUUUAAAAAGGCAGAGGUUUUAUUUAACAAGUACAUGUACUGUAAUAUUCUUAGCCACUCUAACACUACACACAGUUUGAACAGUAACACUGAGUUUGAUCAUGGGAAAAUAAGACAUUGUAUUUUAAUCAAGUGAUUCUAUGGUGAAUUAUGUACCUCAGUCUGAGAAAAAUAAAUAUACACCCCGCCUGUG